CGACGGGCUCCGGCGCACGCUGCCGCUGCAGCUCGCUUCAGCGCCGCAGCCGGCCGGACCGAAUUUCAGCCAGUAGCCCGUCGUGUCGUGGUCCAACCACUCGCGCCGCUUUUCCGUCGAGUCGCGGGUUUUUCGCGUGUUCAACCGUGCGCCAGGAUGUGAAGACGAGCAGCCGUCCUGUCCGCCGGCGCGCUCCAUCGGACUACACUCUUUUCAGCCAAGUUUCGGCGGGUUCCGGGCGGGCUUGAAUGCAGGAGGGCGAGUGGGAGAAUGCGGAGGUGCGCGAGGAGUGCGGAGCGGAGAGAUCGCGGCUGCGGUCGCGGAGCAAGGACAGGGACAAAGAGAAGGAGAGCGAGGAGCCGGCGGCGGAGGCCCUCGGCUGGGACAUCGACGCCGACCUGGAGCUCACCGGCGAGGGCGACGCCAAGCUCUCCCUCCAGAGGAUGCUCUCGGCCGGACACAACCAGCCCAGCCCGGCCGCCCUCCGCAGGCGCCUCCACCACCCCCCAAGACGCUCCGCCACCAUGACCUUCCAGCAAACGUGGCGGAGCAGCACAUCUGAUAUCGAAUCUCUCUCUCAAAGAAGCCCAUCAUCAUCAAGGUAAGAAAAUAAGGCUCAAUCAUCCAUUCGCCUUUUUUAAAAUCGUCUAAUGGUUAAUUUCUAUCGAG
rnacentral:lncRNA from 1 species